AGUCUAUGGUGCGGACACUUCCGUAGCAACUCCCUAAAACUGUCUCAUGCUUUAUAUAACGAGUCACUAUUGUGUAGACUAAAACUAAUAAUGUCUAUCCUAAGCUU